UACGAAGGGGGCUAGCGUUGCUCGGAAUUACUGGGCGUAAAGGGCGCGUAGGCGGUUUGUACAGUCAGAUGUGAAAUUCCUGGGCUUAACCUGGGGGCUGCAUUUGAUACGUGCAGACUUGAGUGAGGAAGAGGGUUGUGGAAUUCCCAGUGUAGAGGUGAAAUUCGUAGAUAUUGGGAAGAACACCGGUGGCGAAGGCGGCAACCUGGUCCUUGACUGACGCUGAGGCGCGAAAGCGUGGGGAGCAAACAGG
rnacentral:rRNA from 1 species